rnacentral:lncRNA from 1 species
GUCGGAUCAAUAUAUAGACACAAAUCAUAUCCAUUGUCUGAGAAAUCGACUUAUUCUAAAUAAAAAAUAAGGCAAACGAAAAAUUGCAAAAUUGAUACAAUAUAUAAUACGGAGUACUUGUUUUUUUGUUAUGAAACAAAGUGAAGGAUAAAUUGGCAGAGCUCCGCCCCAGAGGAACUUGGUGAAAAAUUGCGACAAGCCUUUUUUACCGCGGAAAAGGUGUUUUUUUUCUUUUGUCCUACUUUAUUAUCUUCAUCUUCCUUGCUUUCCCGCCCUUUUGAUUUUCUCCAACAUUUGAUUUUUGACUUUUAAUUUUCCUAAACUUUUGGUUUUAUUUCUAAAACUUUUCUACCUUUUUUUUUCUUCACUUUUAAUUUCUCUUACUUUUGCUUUUAAUUUACUCAAAUUCUGAAAGAUUAUUUUUACCCAACAACGGCAGAGAAGAGCAGUUGGCGGGGGCGGCGUGGUGAUGGUGGAACGCGGGAAAGAGCCACCACGGCCGGAUCUUGAUGCGCCGGGCCGUUGACGGCCACGGCCUCCCGGGCCCCGGCAGCACCGCGGGGAGAGGAAGAGCCGGCGGCGUCAACACGGGGAAUAGGAGCAGCCGGCAGCGUGAGAGGCGUCGACACGGGGAAUAUGUUGUCAACAGUAGAUCUGCAGUACACAUCCGCUGACAGGGACACGCCGAAGGAUCUCAAGUUCUCAACAAUGCAGUGCCAUUAAACACUGGUCGCCGUCAGCAGCACUCAAUCUGUACAAACC